UACGGGGGGGGGCAAGCGUUGUUCGGAAUUACUGGGCGUAAAGGGUGCGUAGGCGGGUCUUUAAGUCAGGGGUGAAAUCCUGGAGCUCAACUCCAGAACUGCCUUUGAUACUGAAGAUCUUGAGUCCGGGAGAGGUGAGUGGAACUGCGAGUGUAGAGGUGAAAUUCGUAGAUAUUCGCAAGAACACCAGUGGCGAAGGCGGCUCACUGGCCCGGUACUGACGCUGAGGCACGAAAGCGUGGGGAGCAAACAGG
rnacentral:rRNA from 1 species